AUUGAACGCUGGCGGCAGGCUUAACACAUGCAAGUCGAACGAGUGGCGGACGGGUGAGUAAUGCUUGGGAAACUGCCUGAUGGAGGGGGAUAACUACUGGAAACUGUAGCUAAUACCGCGUACCAUAGGAUGAGCCCAAGUGGGAUUAGGUUGUUGGUGGGGUAACGGCCUACCAAGGUGACGAUCCCUAGCUGGUCUGAGAGGAUGACCAGCCACACUGGAACUGAGAGACGGGCCAGACUCCUACGGGAGGCAGCAGUGGGGAAUAUUGCACAAUGGGCGCAAGCCGGAUGCAGCCAUGCCGCGUGUAUGAAGAAGGCCUUCGGGUUGUAAAGUUCUUUCAGCGGGGAGGCGUUACACGCAGAAGAAGCACCGGCUAACUCCGUGCCAGCAGCCGCGGUAAUUC
rnacentral:rRNA from 1 species